AGAGUUUGAUCCUGGCUCAGAGCGAACGCUGGCGGCAGGCCUAACACAUGCAAGUCGAGCGCCGUAGCAAUACGGAGCGGCAGACGGGAGAGUAACACGUGGGAACGUACCCUUUGGUUCGGAACAACCCAGGGAAACUUGGGCUAAUACCGGAUAAGCCCUUACGGGGAAAGAUUCAUCGCCGAAGGAUCGGCCCGCGUCUGAUUAGCUAGUUGGUGGGGUAAUGGCCCACCAAGGCGACGAUCAGUAGCUGGUCUGAGAGGAUGAUCAGCCUCACUGGGACUGAGACACGGCCCAGACUCCUACGGGAGGCAGCAGUGGGGAAUAUUGGACAAUGGGCGCAAGCCUGAUCCAGCCAUGCCGCGUGGGUGAUGAAGGCCCUAGGGUUGUAAAGCCCUUUCGGCGGGGAAGAUAAUGACGGUACCCGCAGAAGAAGCCCCGGCUAACUUCGUGCCAGCAGCCGCGGUAAUACGAAGGGGGCUAGCGUUGCUCGGAAUCACUGGGCGUAAAGCGCACGUAGGCGGAUUGUUAAGUCAGGGGUGAAAUCCUGGAGCUCAACUCCAGAACUGCCUUUGAUACUGGCGAUCUUGAGUCCGGGAGAGGUGAGUGGAACUGCGAGUGUAGAGGUGAAAUUCGUAGAUAUUCGCAAGAACACCAGUGGCGAAGGCGGCUCACUGGCCCGGUACUGACGCUGAGGUGCGAAAGCGUGGGGAGC
rnacentral:rRNA from 1 species